rnacentral:rRNA from 1 species
CCUACGGGAGGCAGCAGUGAGGAAUAUUGGUCAAUGGACGGAAGUCUGAACCAGCCAAGUAGCGUGAAGGAUGACUGCCCUAUGGGUUGUAAACUUCUUUUAUAUGGGAAUAAAAUGCUCCACGUGUGGGGUUUUGCAUGUACCAUAUGAAUAAGGAUCGGCUAACUCCGUGCCAGCAGCCGCGGUAAUACGGAGGAUCCGAGCGUUAUCCGGAUUUAUUGGGUUUAAAGGGAGCGUAGGUGGCUUGUUAAGUGAGUUGUGAAAGUUUGGGGCUCAACCGUAAAAUUGCAGUUGAAACUGGCAGUCUUGAGUACAGUAGAGGUGGGCGGAAUUCGUGGUGUAGCGGUGAAAUACUUAGAUAUCACGAAGAACCCCGAUUGCGAAGGCAGCUUACUGGACUGGAACUGACACUGAUGCUCGAAAGGGCGGGUAUCAAACAGGAUUAGAUACCCGUGUAGUC